GAGUUUGAUCGUGGCUCAGAUUGAACGCUGGCGGCAUGCCUUACACAUGCAAGUCGAACGGUAACAGGUCUUCGGAUGCUGACGAGUGGCGAACGGGUGAGUAAUACAUCGGAACGUGCCCGAUCGUGGGGGAUAACGGAGCGAAAGCUUUGCUAAUACCGCAUACGAUCUACGGAUGAAAGCAGGGACCGCAAGGCCUUGCGCGGACGGAGCGGCCGAUGGCAGAUUAGGUAGUUGGUGGGAUAAAAGCUUACCAAGCCGACGAUCUGUAGCUGGUCUGAGAGGACGACCAGCCACACUGGGACUGAGACACGGCCCAGACUCCUACGGGAGGCAGCAGUGGGGAAUUUUGGACAAUGGGCGAAAGCCUGAUCCAGCCAUGCCGCGUGCAGGAUGAAGGCCUUCGGUUGUAACG
rnacentral:rRNA from 1 species